rnacentral:rRNA from 1 species
UACGGGGGGGGCAAGCGUUGUUCGGAAUUACUGGGCGUAAAGGGCUCGUAGGCGGCCAACUAAGUCAGACGUGAAAUCCCUCGGCUUAACCGGGGAACUGCGUCUGAUACUGGAUGGCUUGAGAUUGGGAGAGGGAUGCGGAAUUCCAGGUGUAGCGGUGAAAUGCGUAGAUAUCUGGAGGAACACCGGUGGCGAAGGCGGCAUCCUGGACCAACACUGACGCUGAGUGAGCGAAAGCCAGGGAGCAAACGGG